CAUUACACCAGUUGAGAAAUUCCCCACCUUGAUGGAAGCAGAGUUCACUUCUCAUCACAGACUUUGAACUGAUCCGGGCUCCUCCACCUUCCAUGCGGCUGGAGCAAGGUAGGUUACCUAACUUCCCUCCAUGAGAGGCACUGUCCCUGCCAUCCAGCAGGGCCGUGGGCAGCAGCCCUGGCAGCUCCCGAGGCCAAGUGCAGGUGGCAAGAUGGGUGAUGACAUCCACUGCUAAACAGCCUCCACAACCAACACCUCCCCAGACUGGUUUUGUGGCAUGAUGUUGGCAGUGGGCCCGGGUGCUGCCUGUUCACUGAGCCCGCCCGCCCGUCAUCCCUGGUGGUGCCGUGUGCUCUCCAACAUCCCUCAGGAGCCACUCUGCUGUGACAGUCGGCCGGCUUUUUGGUUUUCUGCCCUCGUCAUGGUCCUCUCCCGUGGGUCCACACCUCUUUUUUAUUCAUUCUGCAAACAUUCCUGAGAAGUCCUUCAUCUUAUUUGUAAUGUCAUCUGACAUUUUUCAUUCAUUUCCUCAGCUGACAAAGCACCCUUCUAAGCAUCCUUUGCCUUUUUUUCCUAUUCCUUGUUUUUGUCCCAUGUUUUGAUCGGGUUGUUUUAGAAUCAGAACUCACUGCAGAGUCGAUUCCCUGUGUAGUGACAUCAUUUUCCAGAUACCCCCUCCCUUCUUCCUAAUUGGACCAAUUUUUGACCUACCAUUAGAACUAAACUUUCUGUGGACCUUUUGCUCCAGCUGAGCAGUCACUGUCUGUGAGCAUAAUAAGAUGCUAUAGAGUCAUUACUUGUCUUCUCCAUGCCUUUAUAGUCAUCUUUAAUGCCACCUUCCCCUCAUUCCCAAUGUCCCUGUGGUCUCCAUGUCCUAUCCUGUGAAUUUUGCAUCAUUUAAAUCCACUCUGUUCCCUCUACUGCCACUACUUAGGCCUUUAUCAUCACCUGGGUUGUUUAAAAUAUCAUUGAAUUUUAGAACUUCUUAAGAAUACAAUUGCCUAAAAGGCAUAAAGACACAGAAAUGAUCUAACACUAGUUAAAUAGUAUAAUAAUUAGAUGAUGAGACCUCAAUAGGGUGGAAUAUUAUUUUUCAAAAUCAUGAAACACAGAAAAAAAGGAUUUACUACUCUGAUGCCAAGAGGAAGUAAAAUUAUCAUGGGUAUUGUGAUUGCAACAAUACAAAAAAAUAUAUACCACAUGCAAAAAGUAGAAACGCAUAUUAAAUUACGGGUCAUUUAGAACCAUUUUUCCUUUAUUCUUGCUAUGUUUUCUCUUGCAUUUAAAAUAACGAAGAAAUAAUCCCCCUAAGAAGCUCAAGUGUCUACAAGUUCCAGAAACUUCCACCUACCGAGAUCAGUUGCUGGACCUGCUGCAGCUUUAUCCUCCCAAUUUACCACUUCCAUAAGGCCCCCAUAUACACAGUCUCCCUUGAUCUGCCUAAUCGCUCCUUCUAACAUCUCUGCUUUUGAGCAAAGUCGGUUGCUAUGUUCCUUGUUUCCCCUCCCACCCCAGUUCAUCUCAGAGACACCUGACACUUUUAAGAGCUUGAGUCACACCAUCAAUCUCCCUCUCUUCAUUACCUGCCCGCCGUGGAUUGUAAUAAAGAUGGCAGAAACUGGAAGGCUCUCAUGCCUUUUUCUCUCUCCUUGCUUUAUCUGAGUUUCCAAGUGCUUCCUCUGCUGUCAUUAUGUCUGGCUUCUUUAUAUCCCCUGUUCUCCUGAGUGACCAGCAUUAUCUGUGCAUUUUCACAGUCCUACUCAGGUUUCUCCCAAAGCCCGUCUUGAUCCCCAGGUCCCCUCAGGGUGAGGGGGUCAGAUGAACUUAGGUGAAAACUCUGGCUUUGCUACCAACACACGAAGACUCUGAACAAGGUCCUGAGCUUGGGUUCCUUAUCUGAAAAAGUAGGGGUAAAAACAAAAAUGGUAUACCUAGGGGUACCAUGGAAAGCAAGAAAUAAGGAAAAUUAGAUUGCCUGCUGAAAUGAACAUGGAACAGAUCAGAGCUGGGAUUUCAGAUGGGCAGGCAGAGGAAAUGUGGGUCCCAAGCAAGCAGGAAUGGGCUUUAAAGGGAUUGGGAGUGUUAAUAAAUACAAACAAAUAGUAUGUUGACUUCUAAAGAGAAUUAAUCUUGGAAACUCCAAACUGGAGCCUCGUGAGGCAAAGGCAGGCAUUGCCCACCCAUGCUCUCUGCGGAGGGGGCAGCCUUGGCCAACAGACUUUGCUUAUUAACAGCCCAGUGGCAAAGCUAGCCUCAAUUUGAUCUUAGCCUGAUAACUUUAAAUAUUUGUGUCAUCUAACUAACUUUAAAGAACCUGCUCCUAGCUUCCCAUUGCACUUAUAAUUGAAACUUCUCAUUCGGGACCAUAUCAUCUCCUGGUCAGUUGGUUCCUGCCUGCCUUCCUGAUCUCAUCUAAGAAUGUCGUUUCCUCAGGUGUUGGCAAAGCGCCCAUGACCCUGCAGGGAAUCAGCAGCUGCCCCAUGGCCUUGGCCCGGGACUCCCCCACAUCUCCAUGAGGUCUCAGAACUCACCUAGCUGUCACCUCCCCAAGGAGGACUUCCCUGCCGCCCUGUGGAAAUGACCACCCAACUCACUCACAUCUACCCACAGUGUAUCUAAAUUGUCUUAGUGGCCUAUGUGAUUACUUGUUUACAGUCUGCCUGCCCUUCCGGUUCUGAAGCUCCAGGAGAGCAAAGAGCUUGCCUGUCCAGUCUGCCCCUGAAUCUCCAGAAUGGCGCCUUCACUGGGUGAACAAAUAAAGAAUGAAGGAAGGAAGGAAGGCCCUUGCUUUUAUUUGGUUCAUGCCUACCGAGCCAGCUGUCUGAUCAAGACUUACUUGGUGGUCCACUGGGAAAAAAUAUUAAACUACUAGAGAGAAGAUUCUUCUGAGAGGCAACUUGGGCUUGUGGAGAGGAGGCAAUCUUGGAAGGAGAUGGAUCUGGGUCCACCUCGCAGUCCACCACUGAGGAGCCGUGUGACCUUGGGCAGGUCACUUGAUCUGAAUGAAUGAGUUUGUGAUUCAUCAAUUAGAUACAAUAUUAAAUGCUCACUAUGAUGUGUAGUUGCCAUCUGUCACCAAUGAUUUUGCAAUAUGAGCUAUAGCCUCGCUUACUUCUUUUAUAAGUUAUCAUACAAUGAACCUCACCUUUAAAAACACCUUGAUGAAUAGAUCUACAAAUUUUAACAUAUGUACAGAUUAGUGUAAGCCCUACCACAAUCAGAGUACAGAGCAGUCCCAUCUCCAGAACACCUCCCUCAUGCCAUCUCUUUACCGCUGGUGACCACUGAGCCUUCUCCCUCCCAACUGUGUUGUCUUUUUGAGAAUGCCAGAUAGCAGAGUCUUACCUUUUAAGACUGACUUCUUUCACUCCACAUGAUGCCUUUGUGAUUAAAAUCCAAGUAGUCCUGUGCGUGAAGAGCAUGCCCUGUUUUAUCCAUGCCAUCAUAGGGCUGCACCAGUUUGCUUUAGCCAUUCGCCUGUUGAAGGACAUUUGGGUUGUUGUCUGAGUUUUGAGUGUCUUGUAUUUGCUGUGGUUCAUUUUGUUUUUGUUUUUUGAAAAUUAAAAAAAUUGUGGUAAAUACACAUAACAUAAAAUAUACCAUUUUGAAGUACAAUUGAGUGGUGUUAAGUACAUUCAAAGUGUUGUCUGACUGUCACCAACUCUUUACACAACUUUUUCAUCAUCCCAAACAGAAACUCUCUCUGCUUUAGAUAAUAACGCUCCAUUCCUCCUCCCCCAGC